rnacentral:ncRNA from 1 species
UUUCCCUCAGGAUAGCUGGAGCCCUUAGCGAGUUCUAUCGGGUAAAGCCAAUGAUUAGAGGCAUCGGGGGCGCAACGCCCUCGACCUAUUCUCAAACUUUAAAUAGGUAGGACGGUGCGGCUGCUUCGUUGAGCCGC